rnacentral:rRNA from 1 species
CACGUAGGGCGCAAGCGUUGUCCGGAAUUAUUGGGCGUAAAGAGCUCGUAGGUGGUCUGUUGCGUCCGCUGUGAAAUCUCAGGGCUUAACCCUGAGCUUGCGGUCGAUACGGGCAUGACUGGAGUUCGGCAGGGGAGACUGGAAUUCCUGGUGUAGCGGUGAAAUGCGCAGAUAUCAGGAGGAACACCGGUGGCGAAGGCGGGUCUCUGGGCCGAUACUGACGCUGAGGAGCGAAAGCGUGGGGAGCGAACAGG